GACCUCCCAGAGCGUCCCGAUGUCGCCGGCGGCCAGACCAUGCGCGAGACAGCCCAGGCGCCAGAGGCCUCCAUCCCCUGCCAGGGCUCUGGACUCUCCAGGCGGCCACCCUCUCGCUGAGACUCCAGGCCUUCCCCAGGCUCUUGAGCUCCCGAGCUUCCAACACCUGGGGCCCGCUUAGGACGGGGUGUGCUCCGAGGCGUCAGGGCCCAGGGCCCGCGGUCCUGGGGUCCCCUCCGGUCCUCCGCCUUGCCGCGGAAAAAUUAUUUUGGAUUCCUCGCCGCCCCUCCUGCAAGGCCCCCUCUUGCCCCACACACCCAGAGCCGCCAGGGCUGCCCAGGGGCGAACGGCCGGCCCAGCCCCACGGGCCCUUUUUCUCACAAUGCUCACACCAUCGUCG
rnacentral:lncRNA from 1 species